rnacentral:rRNA from 1 species
UACGUAGGGCGCAAGCGUUGUCCGGAAUUAUUGGGCGUAAAGAGCUCGUAGGCGGCUUGUCACGUCGGGUGUGAAAGCCCGGGGCUUAACCCCGGGUCUGCAUUCGAUACGGGCUAGCUAGAGUGUGGUAGGGGAGAUCGGAAUUCCUGGUGUAGCGGUGAAAUGCGCAGAUAUCGGGAGGAACACCGGUGGCGAAGGCGGUUCUCUGGGCCGAUACUGACGCUGAGGAGCGAAAGCGUGGGGAGCGAACAGG